GGGGGGGAAGGGCAGGGGCGCACAGGUGGGGGCCCUGCUGGUGUUUAAAAGGGUGUCAAAGAAAAAGAAGGAAAUAAAAUAUAAGAUCUCUUCAAAAACUGAUGCCAAUGAGGGAUUUUUUUUUUUUAAUUAUUUUUUACAUUUUCAUUCCUUUUAUAUUAUUUACUAUUCCUUAUAAUUUUUGACGUAUUACCUUUUUAUAGUCUGCUAAUGAACCCACCUAUGAUAAAAACAAAUUCAGCCCAAUUUGUUCUAAUUCUUGGGGCAGUUUUGCCCUUUUUUAUCCACCAGGCCCCAUUUGUCACACUUUGGCAAACUUAUGAUUUAAGGUCCAAUCUUAGAAUAUUAUUUUGUAGCUACCAAGGGCAGAUAAAAAUAUUAUUUAACAGUAUUGCCUGAACUCAAUUUAAAAACCGUGAUAAUGAAUGCAAUUUAACAGGAAAUGCUAUUACCAGUAGCAAAAAGCACAACAUCUGCCAAGAACUCUUCUCCAUGAUCUGUA
rnacentral:misc_RNA from 1 species